rnacentral:lncRNA from 1 species
CGGGAGCGCGCACACACCGGCGGCUUCGCGCUCCCAGCCGGUGCCGAGCGCCGGACUGAGGGGAGCGCUAGACCCGGGUAGCGUCCGGCUGGGGAACACUGGGCCGAGGCUCACUCGCCAUAUGAAUACAGGCAACCGCCGCUUUGAACAAUGAAAUCUCGGUGGUCUUGUCCUCGGUCGACCACCUCUUGGAAGUUCGCUGAAUUCUAGAAGUCUGAGGAGUUCUGUACCACAGAAGGACGGACGGCCUCCACCGUGGGAAUUACGGUCAUUUAAGCAAAACGUAAGUGAAGAGUCUAACCCCCAGGAGGACUUCAUAAGAGCAGUAUCGCCACCUGUGUCUUGGUACCAGCAUAUCCAGCUGGACUACACACAUUACAGAAUAUGUGAGUGGUGCAUUUUCUUAUGAGCAAUUCUGGGACUCUGGGCUUGCUUCCUAAAAUAGGUUUCUGUUUAAUUGUCUGUAAAAUGGGGCUAGAGUAGUAACUACCUUAUAGAAUGGAUGUGAGGAUUAAAUGAGAUAAAGGAGCUCAUUUAAACUUUGCAAAGUUCUGGGACAUAUUACGAGUCAACAAGAAGCAGUCAUUGCUGUUUUGUUUUGUUAUUGUUAUUAGUAUUAUUACUAUUAUUGUAUUUUGGGACCUUAAGUCCACUCAUCACAAG